GCAGCAGGUGGCGUAGCGGCUAGAGCCAUCGCCUUGCAAUUGAAGGACCUGGGUUUGAAUCCCAUCUCCUGCUGCA
rnacentral:tRNA from 1 species